ACCGACGCAUGCGCGCCGCGCACUAGACGAAGCGGCUGUGGCGCUGGUGGCGGCUGCUGCUGCGGUGUCUGUGGGGACAGAGACGGUGGAAGUGCCAUCUUCGGCUCGGUUGGCCCAGACAGCGGCUCAUGGCAUUGAGUGGCAUCCAUCGUCAGGUCAUUAACUGAAGAAAAAAUAAAUAGCUAUGCAAAAUUCUCACAUGGAUGAGUACAGAAAUUCUAAUAAUGGCAGCACAGGCAACAGUUCAGAGGUAGUGAUAGAACAGUCUGCUGAUUUCAGUACUGAAAUUAUGAACGUUACGGAAAUGGAACAGUCACCUGAUGGAUCUCCUACAGUGACUACAACUACAGAAGAAAAUGAAACGGCAAAUACUGUGGACCUUCCUGUGACAGAAACAGAAGCAAAUUUCCCUCCAGAAUAUGAAAAGUUUUGGAAAACUGUAGAAAAUAAUCCUCAGGAUUUUACAGGCUGGGUAUAUUUGCUUCAGUAUGUAGAACAGGAGUGAUCUGGAACUGAACCCGCAAUAUCUCUGAGAAUCACUUGAUGGCUGCCAGGAAAGCGUUUGACAAAUUUUUCAUACACUAUCCGUAUUGCUAUGGUUAUUGGAAAAAGUAUGCAGACCUUGAAAAGCGGCAUGACAACAUUAAACAAUCAGAUGAGGUGCGUUAAACCUCUACAGUUUGUCAAGCUUUGCAGUGCAAGCCUCUGUAUUACACUGCAGCUUAACAAACGCUGUCAUUGAUGCUCUAAUGGGUCUGUGCCCUAUGGUCUGUAACCCAAAGCCUGCCCACACAACCCGGUCAGAAUGCAGGGACUGCUGCGCUUUGAAGAUCAAGACUCUGCACGUGGGGAUCAGAACAUUGCCAUGUUCUAUCCAACCUCCACCCAAAUGGUGUAUCGCCGGGGGCUUCAGGCAAUACCUCUUAGUGUUGACCUUUGGAUACAUUAUAUAAACUUCUUAAAAGAAACCCUGGACCCAGGUGAUCCUGAAACAACCAGUACAAUAAAAGGAACUUUUGAGCAUGCUGUUCUAGCUGCAGGAACAGAUUUCCGAUCUGACAGACUAUGGGAAAUGUAUAUAAACUGGGAAAAUGAACAGGGAAACCUGAGAGAAGUUACAGCUAUAUAUGAUCGUAUUCUUGGUAUUCCAACACAGCUUUAUAGUCAUCAUUUUCAGAGAUUUAAAGAACAUGUACAAAAUAACUUGCCUAGAGAUCUUCUAACUGGUGAACAGUUUAUUCAGCUGCGAAGGGAAUUAGCUUCUGUAAAUGGCCAUAGUGGUGAUGAUGGUCCUCCCGGUGAUGAUCUACCAUCAGGAAUUGAAGACAUAACUGAUCCAGCAAAGCUGAUUACUGAAAUAGAAAACAUGAGACAUAGAAUCAUUGAAAUUCAUCAAGAAAUGUUUAAUUAUAAUGAACAUGAAGUUAGUAAGAGGUGGACAUUUGAAGAAGGUAUUAAAAGACCUUAUUUUCAUGUGAAACCAUUGGAAAAGGCACAACUGAAAAACUGGAAAGAAUACUUAGAAUUUGAAAUCGAAAAUGGGACUCAUGAACGAGUUGUGGUUCUAUUUGAAAGAUGUGUCAUAUCAUGUGCCCUCUAUGAGGAGUUUUGGAUUAAGGAGAUGGUCUGCUUGCAACCAGAUUUGACUGCUGCAUAUGCCAACCUCGUUGCCUCUCUUCGUCCUUCCUUACAGAAACUAGUCUAGUGGUUCAAUAAAGUAUGCCAAGUACAUGGAAAACCAUAGCAUUGAAGGAGUGAGGCAUGUCUUCAGCAGAGCUUGCACAAUUCAUCUCCCAAAGAAACCUAUGGUGCAUAUGCUUUGGGCAGCUUUUGAGGAACAGCAGGGCAAUAUUAAUGAAGCCAGGAAUAUCUUGAGAACAUUUGAAGAAUGUGUCCUAGGACUGGCAAUGGUUCGUUUGAGAAGAGUAAGUUUAGAACGACGGCAUGGAAAUAUGGAAGAAGCUGAACGUCUGCUUCAGGAUGCCAUUAAGAAUGCCAAAGCAAAUAAUGAAUCAUCAUUUUAUGCUAUCAAACUUGCCCGACAUCUUUUCAAAAUACAAAAAAACCUUCCCAAAUCAAGAAAGGUGCUUUUGGAAGCAAUUGAAAGAGACAAAGAGAACACAAAGUUAUACCUCAAUUUACUUGAAAUGGAAUACAGUGGUGACCUCAAACAAAAUGAAGAAAAUAUCCUAAAUUGUUUUGACAAAGCUAUACAUGGUUCAUUACCUAUUAAAAUGAGAAUUACAUUUUCUCAGAGAAAAGUGGAAUUUCUUGAAGAUUUUGGCUCAGAUGUUAAUAAACUUCUGAAUGCUUAUGAUGAACAUCAGACACUCCUAAAAGAACAAGAUUCUUUAAAAAGGAAAGCAGAAAAUGGGUCAGAAGAACCAGAGGAAAAGAAAGCACACACAGAAGAUACUUCAUCAUCUACACAGAUGAUUGAUGGUGAUUUACAGGCAAAUCAAGCUGCUUAUAAUUAUAGUGCCUGGUAUCAAUACAAUUAUCAGAAUCCUUGGAAUUAUGGACAGUAUUAUCCUCCUCCUCCAACCUGAUGGGAAAAUUAAUAGCAGAUGGAGUAUGUGAAAAGUAUGAAAUUAUUUUUUUUUUAAUGAGGGAUGUAAACAGCAUAAACUUGCAUUUGAUAACUUGUCUUCCCUGUUUCUGUGUAACAUGAUUUGUUUAGUAAUAGGGGAAAAUGUCACUUAGUAGCUCACCACAGAUACUAUUUCCUACCAUUUAUAAAAUUUACUUUUUAUUGGAGAACUAUUUUUUUGAUUUUUGCAUUAAGUGGUCUAGAAUUCUUUUGCAAUGUAUUUGCAACAGAGUUUUGUAGCCUUAAGGUUAGGAAAAAACUGACUGCAAAUCAUGUCAGUGUAGUUUAAGAUUCUGAAAAUACAUAAGGGCUGGUUAAUAAGGAUUUACCUCCUCUUUAAAAAAAUGGAUUUUUAACCCUUGCUGACAAGACUGUUUGCGUGUUUCAGUUAUCCUUAUGAAUUUGGAUAUAACAGCAGAAAAGACACCUAUUAAAAUACUGUCUUGGAAUAGAGAUUAUAAGUGAGGAAAUGGAAUGUUUGCAUCCCCUUAAAAAAUGAAAGUCUUAUCAAAACUAUGUUGUUUCAGGAGACUUUGUAUUUGGAAUAUUCAUGUAAAACUUGUGAGCAAGCUUUCAUUUUGAUCAAACUGAUCAUCUUCAUUUUUGUAAUAAAACUGAAGACUCAUCUAGUAA